rnacentral:lncRNA from 1 species
GCUCAAUUUGAUUCCUUUGCUUCAGCAUCUCUGUUCCUUUAUGUGAUUUCUUUUGGUUCUGAGUUCUUGCUACUUGUCAAAAUCAACAAUGAUUUUCACUCGAGUCCUUGCAUACUAUUGGUCCUUUCUCUGUCACUAAAUCACUGAAACCUGACUUACGUAACUAUUAUGUGAUUAUUCUCUUUGUCAUGAGUACAGCCUCACAUGCCUAAGGUUAUGCACUCUUUUAUAUGCUAAAUCUCCCUCUCAAAGUAGCCCUUGAUUAUGGACUGAUGUCAAAUCUCUUUGUGUGAUUCUGAUUUCACUCUUGUAAUUGAUUCUUUCCUUAUUGUACUGAUUUUCGUGCCUCUUGGACCUAUUUGAAUGAUUUCCUUUGAAAUUUUGACCCCUACCUUUAAAUCAAUUUGACUGACCCCUUACCUCGAUUAUAUUAUUAUAGGACUCUUACAAACCUUUUCUAGAUUAAAGUCUAAUGAACCUAUCCUCUAUUACCUACUAUGUAUCUGUACUAUGCUGAAAAUUCUUCCUUAUUAGUCAUAUUCAGCCUACAUGAUUUCUUUCUUUAUUUAGCACUUACAUGUUACCGUUUGAUUUUAAUUCCAUAAUAAAGGGAAGUCUUUUAUAUUGAUUUGAUUUUAAUUGACACUUGUUUCCCUAAUUAUUGUUGAACUACAAUCUUUACCUUAUUUUCUGGCUAUUUCUGCACUAUAAAUACUUGGUUUUCUCAUUAACACAAACACAUGAACACACACAGACAAGUUCUGAAAAUAUAUUACUUCUCUUUCUCUUUCUCAAAUACUUCUAAGUUUUCCUGCAAAGUAUUCGAGUUUGUUUUGCUGAAGUCCUGAGUUGAUUUUUCUUUGUUUACCUAUGGCUACAAGUGUUCUGCUCCUCUUUGUGUUUAUUUUGCAAUUGGUAUGUCCCUUUAGUUUAAUAUUGCCUCUUCCCUACGUGUUUACAUUUCAGUUCUUUCGUGUGUUUACUUUACUGCUUCUGCAUAUUUGCUACUUUGCUCUUGACUGAAUCCCCUCUCCUUCAACUUUUAUCUGUUGAAUUAUGGUUUAUAGAGCAUGACAAUACUUAAACAUUGUUGUUCAUGUGUAUGGACUGGAUUCUUUGAAACAAACUCAAUCAAUCCCCACUCCCUUUUCCCUUAUGUGUGCUUGAGCCUUAGACCUUGGUAUGGCAGUGUCUUAAUCAGUGUCUAGACCUUGGUCAGACCUUCAAUAGGUCUGCUCUUAUUUGCUGACCAAAUAGGUUGGCCAGGGGUGUGCCAGUCUGCUUUAUAGAUGUGUAUGACCACCAAUCUAUCAUUGGUCCCCAACCCCUUUCACAUUUACACUCAUUAUUAGUAAUUAAGCUCUGCCCUUCUCUUGCAACCCUUGCUUUGGGACUCCUAAGCUCCCUUUUAACUUGGAUGCUUAAGAGCUGGCUCUUCCACACUGCACUGUUUCUGUUAUAAUGAUAUCUUGGGUGUCAGCAAUGCCGGGAAUUCCUGAAAUUACUUGGAACUUUGAAACACCCUAGAUAGAGAGAAGGCUUUGGAAAUCUGGAUCCCAGAAGUGGCUCAAUCACAUAUUAUUAGACAUUAAGUCUGAUUUAGGUACCUUGGAUGCAACUGUUAGAUUUUAAUGUAAUUUUUCCCUAUUUUUGGGUCUGUAAUAACUUGUAUAAACUUGGGGAAUAUAGUGAAAAUGGCG